AAGGUUAAAGCGGCCCGUACCGUAAUCCGACACAGGUGGACGAGAUGAAUAUUCUAAGGCGCUCGGGUGAGCCAUGGAGAAGGAACUAGGCAAAUUGACGCUGUAACUUCGGGAUAAAGCGUACCACCUUCGGGUGGUCUCAGUAAAAUGGUUCAACCAACUGUUUAACAAAAACACAGGGCCCUGCAAAAUCGAAAGAUGACGUAUAGAGCCUGAUACCUGCCCGGUGCCGGAAGGUUAAGGAAGGAUGUUCGGAGCAAUCCAAAGCUUCUGACUGAAGCCCCGGUAAACGGCGGCCGUAACAAUAACGGUCCUAAGGUAGCGAAAUUCCUUGUCGGGUAAGUUCCGACCUGCACGAAUGGUCUAAUGAGUUGAACGCUGUCUCCUCCAUGAGCCCGGUGAAAUUGUAGUAUCGGUGAAGAUGCCGGUUACCCGCCACGGGACGGAAAGACCCCGUGAACCUUCACUACAACUUUGCAUUGAUUUUGAGCAAACGAUGUGUAGAAUAGUUGGGACGCUUUGAAGCGGUGCCGCCAGGUAUCGUGGAGCGGUCGUUGAAAUACCAACCUUCGUUUGCUUAGAGUCUAACCCCUUGCGGGGGACAUUGCAUGGUGGGUAGUUUGACUGGGGUGGUCGCCUCCUAAAGAGUAACGGAGGCUCGCAAAGGUACCCUCAGUACGGUUGGUAAUCGUACGAAGAGCGCAUUAGUAUAAGGGUGCUUGACUGUGAGGCAUACAUGCCGAGCAGGAGCGAAAGCUGGCUAAAGUGAUCCGGCGGUUCUGUAUGGAAGGGCCGUCGCUCAAAGGAUAAAAGGUACUCCGGGGAUAACAGGCUGAUCUCCCCCAAGAGCUCAUAUCGACGGGGAGGCUUGGCACCUCGAUGUCGGUUCGUCACAUCCUGGGGCUGGAGAAGGUCCCAAGGGUUCGGCUGUUCGCCGAUUAAAGUGGCACGUGAACUGGGUUCAGAACGUCGCAAGACAGUUCGGUCCCUAUCUGUGGUGGGCGCUAGUAAAUUGAGUGGACAUGACCUUAGUACGAGAGGACCGGGUCGUACGUGCCGCUGGUGUAUCUGUUGUGCCGCCAGGUGCAAUGCAGAGUAGCUACGCACGGCAAGGAUAAACGCUGAAAGCAUCUAAGCGUGAAACCUUCCACAAGAUGAGUUUACUUUUAAGGGUCGUCAGAGACUAUGACGUUGAUAGGCUACAGAUGUAAAACUAGUGAUAGUAAAGUCGAGUAGUACUAAUUGCCCGUAAGCUUUAAUUG
rnacentral:rRNA from 1 species